rnacentral:rRNA from 1 species
UACGUAGGGGGCAAGCGUUGUCCGGAUUUAUUGGGCGUAAAGAGCGUGUAGGCGGCUUGGUAGGUCCGCUGUGAAAACUCGAGGCUCAACCUCGAGAUGUCGGCGGAAACCACUUGGCUAGAGUCCGGAAGAGGAGAGUGGAAUUCCCGGUGUAGCGGUGAAAUGCGUAGAUAUCUGGAGGAACACCGGUGGCGAAGGCGGCAUCCUGGACCGGUAUUGACGCUGAGGCGCGAAAGCCAGGGGAGCAAACGGG